rnacentral:rRNA from 1 species
UGUCCGGAUUUAUUGGGCGUAAAGCGAGUGCAGGCGGCUCGAUAAGUCUGAUGUGAAAGCCUUCGGCUCAACCGGAGAAUUGCAUCAGAAACUGUCGAGCUUGAGUACAGAAGAGGAGAGUGGAACUCCAUGUGUAGCGGUGAAAUGCGUAGAUAUAUGGAAGAACACCGGUGGCGAAGGCGGCUCUCUGAUCUGUUACUGACGCUGAGGCUCGAAAGCAUGGGUAGCGAACAGGAUUAGAUACCCUGGUAGUCAAGGGCGAAUUCGC